rnacentral:rRNA from 1 species
CCUACGGGAGGCAGCAGUGGGGAAUAUUGGACAAUGGGCGAAAGCCUGAUCCAGCAAUGCCGCGUGAGUGAUGAAGGCCUUCGGGUCGUAAAGCUCUUUUACCAGGGAUGAUAAUGACAGUACCUGGAGAAUAAGCUCCGGCUAACUCCGUGCCAGCAGCCGCGGUAAUACGGAGGGAGCUAGCGUUGUCCGGAAUUACUGGGCGUAAAGAGUACGUAGGCGGUUAUUCAAGUCAGAGGUGAAAGCCCGGGGCUCAACCCCGGAACUGCCUUUGAAACUAGAUAACUAGAGUCUUGGAGAGGUUAGUGGAAUUCCGAGUGUAGAGGUGAAAUUCGUAGAUAUUCGGAAGAACACCAGUGGCGAAGGCGACUAACUGGACAAGUACUGACGCUGAGGUACGAAAGCGUGGGGAGCAAACAGGAUUAGAUACCCUGGUAGUCCACGCCGUAAACGAUGAUAACUAGUUGUUCGGUCACUUGGUGACUGAGUGACGCAGCUAACGCAUUAAGUUAUCCGCCUGGGGAGUACGGUGCAAGAUUAAAACUCAAAGGAAUUGACGG